rnacentral:rRNA from 1 species
UACGUAGGGAGCAAGCGUUGUUCGGAUUUACUGGGCGUAAAGGGCGCGUAGGCGGCGCUGUAAGUCACUUGUGAAAUCUCUGAGCUUAACUCAGAACGGCCAAGUGAUACUGCAGUGCUAGAGUGCAGAAGGGGCAAUCGGAAUUCUUGGUGUAGCGGUGAAAUGCGUAGAUAUCAAGAGGAACACCUGAGGUGAAGACGGGUUGCUAGGCUGACACUGACGCUGAGGCGCGAAAGCCAGGGGAGCAAACGGG